GUUACAAUUCCAUUUUUAGUUCCAUUUUCCUAUUCAAUAUUCUUACAUAAAUUUUCAGUUAUAAGAUAGUUUCUCAUCUUACCCAAUUUUCCUUUUAUCCCUGAGUCAGCUUCCUUUUUUGCUUCUCAUCUCCUCUCAAAUCAUUUACCAAUCAAUUCUUUCUUCCAAAAUUUUUUCUUUCGGUAAUGGUGAAUUGGUGACCAUGAAUUCUAUAAUAUUAUUAUGUACAUGAGUUCUACAAUAUCCUUAUGUUAUUAAAUCGUCAUUUUCAUCUCUCUCUUUUUGUUACCCAUCUCAGUUCAAAUUGGCGUGGAUAAUCACCCAACUUUCUCCGUGAAUAUCUUAUCUUCGAUAUUAUAAUUUGUUCAUGAUGUUUGGGCCAUCAACUUUAUUUGAUUCAGGGAUUAAGGUGUGAAUUUUUGUGCAUUUUCUUGCUUUAUUAUCGUUUGGAUAUUUAGAACAAACUAUUGUUUUAUUUUUGUUUGUAAUUUGCUAUUGAAAAAAAAAUGUUUUGGUUUGACAUUUUCGUUUUUGAUUUUUUGGUGCUGAGUCUUCGUGGCCACUUCUUUUUAUUAUGUUUUGGUUGGACUCUUUUUGUUUGUUUAGUUAUUGAAAUUUAAGUUUCGCAAAGUACCUUUGAUGUUAUAAACUUGUAUGCUUACAUUAUCUACUGAAAAAAAAAAGAAAUAAAAAUAUUCAUUUUAUAAGUUAAAUUUCUGAAAUGCAUAUGGUAUCAUUAUGGUGUUAUUUCGUAUUUCUUAUUUUUCACUUAAAUGUAUGUUUUGGUUAGACUUUUUGUUUUCUAUGGUUUAGUUAUUGAAAUUUAAGUUUCGCGAAGUACCUUUAUGUUAAUGUUAUAAACCUAUAUUUACAUUAUCUUGGGGAAACAAUAACUUAAACAUAUCCUAUUAUUUAGUUAUUUUAAGAUUAAAGUAUUAGCAAAUACCAUUUCUGAAAUACAUAAAUUGGUAUCAUUAUGUUGUUAUUUUUAUAGCUUUUUGUUUUCCAAUUUGACAGUGCUUUCUCCAGGUUCUUUUAACUAUAUCAAGGCUCCUCAAGAUUAAAUCUAAAAUUUGUGUAAUAUGACAAGAUUUUCUCGCAGUAAAUGUAACAACCAUUUUCUUUUUUAAUUUGAAAUUCCUUUCAUUCGACACAAAUAUAAUCCGCUCGAAGAAUAGUUGAGGGAAAGAAACUGAUGUACAACAUGCAAAGGUAUUUGCUUGGUUCCAUUGUCACCUGUGCAAGAACUAAUAAAUGAAG
rnacentral:lncRNA from 1 species